rnacentral:rRNA from 1 species
AUUGAACGCUGGCGGCAGGCCUAACACAUGCAAGUCGAACGGCAACAGGAAGCACGUUGCUGCGUCGCUGGGGAGAGGGGGGCGGGAUGGAAAUGUCCGUGACACUUCGUGAUGGAUGGGGCUGCGUACUGGGAACGGUAACUACAACCGAAUAGCGUCUGAAAGCCAAGGAGCGAGAGCUCACGGGCUCUUGCCAUCGGCUGUGCCCAGAUGGGAUUAGCUAGUGGGUGGGGUAACGGCUGACCUAGGCGACGAUCCGUAGCUGGUCUGAGAGGAUGACCAGCCACACUGGAACUGAGACACGGCCCAGACUCCUACGGGAGGCAGCAGUGGGGAAUUUUGGACAAUGGGGGCAACCCUGAUCCAGCCAUGCCGCGUGCAGGAAGAAGGCCUUCGGGUUGUAAAGCACUUUUGGCCGGGAAGAAGGCAGUUAGGUUAAUACCCCGGCUCAUUGACGGUACCGGAAGAAGAAGCACCGGCUAACUCCGUG